rnacentral:rRNA from 1 species
GAUUAUGGCUCAGGAUGAACGCUAGCUACAGGCUUAACACAUGCAAGUCGAGGGGCAGCAGAUCGAUAGCUUGCUAUUGAUGCUGGCGACCGGCGCACGGGUGAGUAACGCGUAUCCAACCUUCCCUAUAGUAGAGGAUAGCCCGGCGAAAGUCGGAUUAAUACUCUAUGUUUUCCAAUGCAGACAUCUAAGUUGGAACAAAGGUUCACCGCUAUAGGAUGGGGGAUGCGUCUGAUUAGGUAGUAGGCGGGGUAACGGCCCACCUAGCCGACGAUCAGUAGGGGUUCUGAGAGGAAGGUCCCCCACAUUGGAACUGAGACACGGUCCAAACUCCUACGGGAGGCAGCAGUGAGGAAUAUUGGUCAAUGGGCGAGAGCCUGAACCAGCCAAGUAGCGUGCCAGGAUGACGGCCCUAUGGGUUGUAAACUUCUUUUGCCGCAGAGUAACCUGGGGGACGCGUCCCCCGCUGAGAGUAUGCGGCGAAUAAGUAUCGGCUAACUCCGUGCCAGCCGCCGC